rnacentral:rRNA from 1 species
GAUGAACGCUGGCGGCGUGCCUAAUACAUGCAAGUCGAGCGAACGGACGAGAAGCUUGCUUCUCUGAUGUUAGCGGCGGACGGGUGAGUAACACGUGGAUAACCUACCCAUAAGACUGGGAUAACUUCGGGAAACCGGAGCUAAUACCGGAUGAUAUUUUGAACCGCAUGGUUCAAAAGUGAAAGACGGUCCUGCUGUCACUUAUAGAUGGAUCCGCGCUGCAUUAGCUAGUUGGUAAGGUAACGGCUUACCAAGGCAACGAUGCAUAGCCGACCUGAGAGGGUGAUCGGCCACACUGGAACUGAGACACGGUCCAGACUCCUACGGGAGGCAGCAGUAGGGAAUCUUCCGCAAUGGGCGAAAGCCUGACGGAGCAACGCCGCGUGAGUGAUGAAGGUCUUCGGAUCGUAAAACUCUGUUAUUAGGGAAGAACAUAUGUGUAAGUAACUGUGCACAUCUUGACGGUACCUAAUCAGAAAGCCACGGCUAACUACGUG